rfam:Asian citrus Psyllid, Diaphorina citri - Florida Strain, whole genome shotgun sequence.
GCGAAAGUAUCUUAAUGGUAAAGUAUCACCUUGCCAUGGUGAAAGUUGCGAGUUCAAGUCUCGUCUUUCGCU